AAUGAACGCUAGCGAUAGGCUUAACACAUGCAAGUCGAGCGGCAGCAUGGUCUUAGCUUGCUAUGGCUGAUGGCGACCGGCGCACGGGUGCGUAACGCGUAUGCAUCUUGCCUCACAGAGGGGGAUAACCCGUCGAAAUACCGCCUAAUACCGCGUACACUCUCUGUUGGGCAUCCAAUGUCUAGGAACUUAAAUUCGCUGUGUGAUAGGCAUUCGUCCCAUUAGCUAGUUGGUGAGGUAACGGCUCACCAAGGCGACGCUUAGUAGGUGAGAUGAGAGGUUGAACCACCACAAUGGUACUGAGACACGGACCAGAAUGCGACGGGAGGAAGCAGUGAGGAAGAUAGGUCGAGGGGCGAGAGCCUGAACCAGCCAAGUCGCGUGAAGGAGGACUGUCGUAGGGAUUGUAAACUUCUGUGAUACAAGAAUAACAAGAGUAAAGGGUGGCUCCCUGAAUGUACCGAAUGAAUAAGCAUCGGCUAACUCCGUG
rnacentral:rRNA from 1 species